UAUUUCCCAGGUUUUUUCAGUGUAC
rnacentral:piRNA from 1 species